UUUAUUUUUGAGAGAGAAAGAGUGCGAGCGGGAGAGGGGCAGGUGCAGAGAUAGAGAGAGACAGAAUCUGGGGCAGGCGCCAAGCAUAAAGCCUGACGUGAGGCUCGAACCCACAAGCCGUGAGUUCAUGACCUGAGCCAAAGAAGUCCGCUUAACCCACCGAGCCACCCAGGCGCCCCCUACUCUUCUUUCUUAUAGAGCUAAAGGAUUAAAAUGCCCAAUUUAAACAGGUCUUUUCAGUCUUGCUGUGGUAUUUACCCCGCGAAGCCCUUAGCAACAGGCAGGAGGUAGCAAAGGGGCCCGUGGACUGUGGGUCUCCUAGAGGUGUGAGUAGAAGCGGAGAGAGGACGCCAUGCCCCCAAACGCUUGUGGGAUUAGGCUUGUUCCGGAGUGGUCAGGCCACGAUCAGGUGACCAGGUGGUGGAGGGCAGCCUUCUCUGUUCUCGGAGCCUGGCUCAGGUUAGUCCCCAGAUGGAAACUUGAAGGGUGAUUGGAAUUCUCCAGGAAGAGAUGACAGCACCAGUGACGACUAAUAUUAGUACAAACUGUUUUCACCACGACCACCAUUUUAUGUCUACUGUGUGUGAGAUGCUGUAAGUCACUUGUUUACUUGUUUACUCUGCUUCUAUGUUUGUUUUCUCUUUGCUUUGAAGAUUUUGCCUCUUUAUUUUAAAUAUACCUACUUCAUUGUAGGUAACAUUUUAAGCCACUUUAAAUCUUUUUGGAAGUAAGGAGAGGCAUAAAUAGAAAAAGGACCAAGAACUUUAUUAGGUACUUUGCAUAAUAAAUCUUUAAUCCUUAUAAAAAAAAUCCUACA
rnacentral:lncRNA from 1 species